AGCUUUUUGUUUUUUUUUAAAAGGUAAGUUCUGCUCAAUGGUUUUAAAUAGCCGCGGUAAUUUGACCGUGCAAAGGUAGCAUAAUCAUUUGCUUUAUAAUUGGGGGCUGGAAUGAAUGAAUUUUUGAGAUCGUGGCUUUAUUGGGGAGAAAGGGGUAAUUUUCUUUUUUAGUGAAGAAGCUAAAGUAGAUAUGGGGGACAAGAAGACCCUUUUGAGCUUUAUUUUUUGUUCUCUUUUUGGGAGUUGUAAAAUUUGGUUGGGGCGACCAGAGAAGUGGAAUCUUCUCUUUGUAAUUAUGAUCCAGUGGUUUUGAUUAAUAGAUUAAGUUACCAAAGGGAUAACAGCGUGAUUUUUUUUAAGAGUUCUUAUUAAAAAAAUAGAUUGCGACCUCGAUGUUGACUUAUGAUUUCCUUUUUGUGCAGCAGCAAUAAUGGUGGGUCUGUUCGACCUUUAAAGUUUU
rnacentral:rRNA from 1 species